rnacentral:rRNA from 1 species
AAAUGACUCUCGGCAACGGAUAUCUCGGCUCUUGCAUCGAUGAAGAACGUAGCGAAAUGCGAUACUUGGUGUGAAUUGCAGAAUCCCGUGAACCAUCGAGUCUUUGAACGCAAGUUGCGCCCGAAGCCACUAGGUUGAGGGCACGCCUGCCUGGGUGUCACA